rnacentral:rRNA from 1 species
CUGCUGCCUUCCGUAGGAGUUUGGUCCGUGUCUCAGUACCAAUGUGGGGGGGUUAACCUCUCAGUCCCCCUAUGUAUCGUCGCCUUGGUGAGCCGUUACCUCACCAACCAGCUAAUACAACGCAUGCCCAUCAUCAACCACCGGAGUUUUCAACCCCAUGCGAUGCCGCAUGAGAUAUUAUGGGGUAUUAGUACCAAUUUCUCAGUGUUAUCCCCCUGUUCGAUGGUAGGUUGCAUACGCGUUACGCACCCGUGCCG